CCCCCACACCCCUCCCCACGCCUGUCCAUGGGAAGCACAGGAAGAGGACAACGAGGCCCUACCUAGAGGGAGCUGCAUUUGGCCUCGGUGGGGUAUGAGCUCUGGACCCAGAACAUAAAGACUCUUCCUCUUUCAGCCACCCCAUCCUGGGAGUGACAGGAGAACUGCCAGUCAAGGGAGGCAAAAAGGGACAGAGUGAGAGAGAAGCAAGAAGGCAGAAUGCAAAGGGAGAGCUCGAGGAUGCAAACCCUUCAUCUGUUCGUGGUGACCUCUGAGCAGAGCUCCAGGAACCAGGGAGGGCUGGGACCUCAUGGCAAAGCAUCCAGAGGCUGCCCUAGACUUUGUGGAACACUGAAAGCUUUCUCGUUUGGCCUUUUCAACAACUACAUGGAGGACAUCUCAGCUCCACUGUUUUACAAAUGAAGAAACUGAG
rnacentral:lncRNA from 1 species